AAAGUUGUUCUCGUCCCAGUAGGAUUCGAGCUGCUCCAGAGUGACGUCUUGAGGAGGUGCACACCAGUGUUACAGGCUGGUGAAAUCCUUUCGAAGAAGAUGUCGAAGACAGUGCUUUGUGUUGUUACCUGGCUGGCUAUGCUUGCCUAUGACCUCAAUGCAGCCCCAGCAAAUCAAGGCAGUGAUAAGAGUGUUUACGACGCAAUUGAAAAAAUCAAUCAGAAGAAAACUGGUCUCUUUGAAGGUGAUAUUUUGCCAAGUGAAUUGGUCGAUGAGAUCACAAGCAAAGUUUCAACAAGAAAAAGAGACGCUACAAGAUUCCGACAUUAUCUAUGGAGGACAAGAAUUAUCCCUUUUACAAUCUCAUCUGAAUUUGGUUCGUGUGUUUUGAUAAGUUCAAAAUGCCUGUCACUUAACCUUUGCAAAAGGAAAGC